GGUUGAUCCUGCCCGUAGUCAUAUGCUUGUCUCAAAGAUUAAGCC
rnacentral:rRNA from 1 species